GACGAACGCUGGCGGCGUGCUUAACACAUGCAAGUCGAACGGAAAGGCCCUGCUUUUGUGGGGUGCUCGAGUGGCGAACGGGUGAGUAACACGUGAGUAACCUGCCCUUGACUUUGGGAUAACUUCAGGAAACUUGGGCUAAUACCGGAUAGGAGCUCCUGCUGCAUGGUGGGGGUUGGAAAGUUUCGGCGGUUGGGGAUGGACUCGCGGCUUAUCAGCUUGUUGGUGGGGUAGUGGCUUACCAAGGCUUUGACGGGUAGCCGGCCUGGGAGGUUGACCGGAAAAAGGGGGAGGGAGAUGCGACCAGGACCCGAAGGGGAGGAGGCGGGGGGGAGGAGGAAAAAAGGGGCGGAGCCAUGAGACGGAACCGCGGCGGGGGGGAGAAGGGCAUGGGGUUAGGAACCGACUUUCGCUGGGGAGGAGGCGGGAGGGACGGUAAGGGGAAAAGAAGACCCGGCAAACUACGUG
rnacentral:rRNA from 1 species